rnacentral:rRNA from 1 species
ACUGACACUGAGGGACGAAAGCGUGGGGAUCAAACAGGAUAAGAUACCCUGGUAGUCCACGCUGUAAACGAUGAGUACUAGCUGUUGGAGUCGGUGUAAAGGCUCUCGUGGCGCAGCUAACGCGAUAAGUACUCCGCCUGGGGACUACGGCCGCAAGGCUAAAACUCAAAGGAAUUGACGGGGUCCCGCACAAGCGGUGGAGCAUGUGGUUUAAUUCGAUGCAACGCGAAGAACCUUACCUGGU